rnacentral:lncRNA from 1 species
UGAAACUCUAAUUUAACUGGCAGGUCGUGCAGUUUUAUUUGUUAAAUCUGGAAACCCUACUUGCUGCUCUUUGGAUUGAGCCUGUUGGACUUCAGGAAUAUCCAGUGGUGACUGUUAGGCCUCAAUCCAAAGGAAUCUUGGAGAAAAGUUACUUGGCCUCUCUACCAGAGAGCAAUUAAGAGCAAUUUGUAUUCUCUGAAUAAAAGACAAUUUAGAACCUAAGACUUCAUUUUUUGAGGAAAAGCUAUAGUCCAAAGCCAUUGUCCUGUUUCCCUAAGAUGGGUGAGGCCAUCAUUUAGAGGGAUUUCUCUGUCGGCCCUGGGACUAAUUUUAUCAUGUGAAAAAUGAACAAACCAAGCAAAUCACAACACGUCUCUUUUUUCUUUUAAAUCUUCUUGGGUCUGGGUUACAGUUGAACUUUUUAUAGAAUCUGCCUUCCGUUUGCUCUGGGGUCAGAGAUCCGUUCUACGGGUAGCUGCACUAUUAGAACAUUCACCUGUGUGAAUGCUUUUGCAUCCUGAAGUACCUUAGUUACACCUGAGCCCGGUUAAUAUAAAGCUUAGCACGCAAAGGCUUCUGCCUCAUCAUUUGCUUUCCUUCCUCCUGGCUGUUGGGGCUUCUGGAGACCGUCUGGCUUGUUUGGAGAUUUAGCUAAGGGGAUCGGUGGUUUCUCCUCAUUGUGACAAGGAUACACUUGUCACAUCAUGGAAAAGGAGGUAUCGUGAAGAAGCAGGCAAAGACUUGGGAUAAUGUCAUCUACUUUCUUUUUUUGCCUUGUGUUGUUGAAGACUACUAACUUGAGGUAUUUGUUGUUGCAGAAUCGUGAAUAUGACUGGGAAGUGACAGUCGCCCAUCUUUCGCACCUAGAGAACUGUCCUCGGGAUCUACAGAGAGGUUGGUUGUCCGACUUACUAACGUGGAGAGAAUACCUUGGCUUUGCGUGGGAGACACAGCUACUGGGCGAAGCUCUACGGAGAUCCACAUUGUGUGGCGGCAAAAGCUGAUUUAAAGAUAAAAUUGAGUACUGCAGAGAUACUGUGAUUCGCCCAAGGAGCCAUACCUGGUAAGUAGAGAAAGAAGAAACA